AAUGUACACUUUCAGAUCAAACACAACAUGGCUCUCUUCCCAGCUUCAUCUCUGUAGAUGCAUCAAUGUGUCUAAGGUUUGCCCACAGAGAGAUACAAUCAGCAGCUCUUGUGCCGCUUCCCUGAGAUUAAAUCACCCUGUUUUGGUGCAGAAACCCCUGGACUAUGUGAAGCUGCCCUUAACCACGCACUGCCUCCUGUUUGUGAUGGAUGAGGUCAGCUUAGACCUCACAGAAAUUAAGGCUGCUGCCGCUGAAGAAAAACAGAAUUCAUUUCUGUGCACGUUUAGAGAAUAUCACAGGAACAGAGGACUUUAAAGAUCAGCUGCGUAAUUGAAGUCAAUUCUUUAGAAAACCUAUUACUUUCUCACAUCUGUUUCACCCUAUGGUACAUCAUUAUAACUUAUCAACACACUACUUUCUCUGAGUCGUAACAACUCUGCUUGAAUACACUUUAAAACAUAUUAGAAGUGACUCACACAGUAUAAUUGAAUGUGAAAUCAAGUUAGACAAUGAACUAAAACAAAAGUGCUGCUGUUUUUAAGAGAUAUAGUCUGUGUUUCAACCAGAUACAUAAAGAGAAAGCCAUUUGUCUCACUGCAGCUACAGGCCAACUCUCUGUGGGUCUUUUUGCUCCUCUCCUCAUGUGAAAUCAUGAGCUUUUUCUUCAGCACUGUAAUCCUAUACAACACGAAAGAGUAGCUCAUUUUUUGGAACAAUAGCUAAGUCACAAGCUCAUAGUGUGCAGAGUCCAGAUAUGCAGCUUUAAUACCCUCCCUAUAAACUAGUGAAUAAGUGGUUUCAUGAAACGUAAAAGUAGAGAUGAGAUUAGGAAAAGUGAGAUGGGAAUACAAACUGAAGAUUUUAUCACUUUUAGGGAUGUAAAUAAUAAACCAAUUCUAGCCCACACUAUAAAAUAAAUUGUACUCAAUAUUAAAUAACUCAUUUUGUGAGGACACUUUAAGGUUGCUCUUUUGGUUUAUAUGCUCAUGUUCCUGUGUUUAGAAGGUGUAAUGUCUUUUGUUGAAAUCAUUUUAAUGCAUAAAAUGUAUCUAAACUAGCUAUUUAAUAGCAUGAAGUGAGUUAUGCAUAUAAAUUGUUCCUAUGUCUGUUCUUCUACAUAUUUAUUUAUAAGAGCAGAUUUUGGUUAUUUUGUUAUAAAACAGUCAGUAGCAUGGUGUAACACCUCAUAAAUGUUUAGUACCUGUACUUUUGCACUAUAUACUUUUAAAUGUGACGUCCUCUAGAGAAUUAUUUAUCUGAGAAUCUGCUUUUCAAAGUUUUGGACAUGAAUAAACCAUGAUAUCUCUUUACUUGGGCCGAGGUCGAGGUCUGCAGUCCUCAUCUCUUCACUCGAGAAAAAACAGACUGAGGAGUCUUCUCUCCCACUGUUUCCAGGUCUCAAAUCAAUCUUGGUGAGAGAGGCGUGAAGGAGAGACUGAAGAGUGGAGGAAAGUAAUAGUAGAUGUAGGUGCAAUAUAUUUGCAGUAAGAUUCUGCCAAUUGGGUGUGAACGUUGUUUGAAGAGUUUGUUUCUGCCAUUGGACAUGCAAGCUCAUGUGUGCCACACAGACACACAAGCACAUACCCUGCUAUAUUACUAUAUUACAUGAUCCAAUGGCACAUUCUAAUCUGUCAUUUACAGUUUGUCAUCUACCUUUCUCCACAGUGUGUGUGUGUGUGUGUGUGUGUGUGUGUGUGUGUGUGUGUGUGUGUG